rnacentral:rRNA from 1 species
AAUAGAUACCCAGGUAGUCCACGCUGUAAACGAUGCUAACUCGUUUUUGGGUUUUCGGAUUCAGAGACUAAGCGAAAGUGAUAAGUUAGCCACCUGGGGAGUACGAACGCAAGUUUGAAACUCAAAGGAAUUGACGGGGGCCCGCACAAGCGGUGGAUUAUGUGGUUUAAUUCGAUGAUACGCGAGGAACCUUACCAAGGCUUAAAUGGGAAUUGACAGAUUUAGAAAUAGAUCCUCCUUCGGGCAAUUUUCAAGGUGCUGCAUGGUUGUCGUCAGCUCGUGCCGUGAGGUGUUAGGUUAAGUCCUGUAACGAGCGCAACCCCUGUCACUAGUUGCUACCAUUAAGUUGAGGACUCUAGUGAGACUGCCUACGCAAGUAGAGAGGAAGGUGGGGAUGACGUCAAAUCAUCACGGCCCUUACGCCUUGGGCCACACACGUAAUACAAUGGCCGGUACAGAGGGCAGCUACACAGCGAUGUGAUGCAAAUCUCGAAAGCCGGUCUCAGUUCGGAUUGGAGUCUGCAACUCGACUCUA